CCUACGGGAGGCAGCAGUGAGGAAUAUUGGUCAAUGGACGAGAGUCUGAACCAGCCAAGUAGCGUGAAGGAUGACUGCCCUAUGGGUUGUAAACUUCUUUUAUAUGGGAAUAAAACGUUCCACGUGUGGGAUUUUGUAUGUACCAUAUGAAUAAGGAUCGGCUAAAUCCGUGCCAGCAGCCGCGGUAAUACGGAGGGUCCGAGCGUUAUCCGGAUUUAUUGGGUUUAAAGGGAGCGUAGGUGGAUUGUUAAGUCAGUUGUGAAAGUUUGCGGCUCAACCGUAAAAUUGCAGUUGAAACUGGCAGUCUUGAGUACAGUAGAGGUGGGCGGAAUUCGUGGUGUAGCGGUGAAAUGCUUAGAUAUCACGAAGAACUCUGAUUGCGAAGGCAGUUCACUGGACUGCAACUGACACUGAGGCUCGAAAGUGUGGGUAUCAAACAGGAUUAGAUACCCUGGUAGUC
rnacentral:rRNA from 1 species